rnacentral:rRNA from 1 species
GACCAGACUCCUACGGGAGGCAGCAGUGGGGGAUAUUGCACAAUGGGGGGAACCCUGAUGCAGCGACGCCGCGUGGGUGAAGGAGUAUUUCGGUAUGUAAAGCCCUAUCGGCAGGGAAGAAGCAAGACGGUACCUGACUAAGAAGCCCCGGCUAACUACGUGCCAGCAGCCGCGGUAAUACGUAGGGGGCGAGCGUUAUCCGGAUUCACUGGGUGUAAAGGGAGCGUAGACGGCAAUGCAAGUCUGGAGUGAAAGGCGGGGGCCCAACCCCCGGACUGCUCUGGAAACUGUAUAGCUGGAGUGCAGGAGAGGUAAGUGGAAUUCCUAGUGUAGCGGUGAAAUGCGUAGAUAUUAGGAGGAACACCAGUGGCGAAGGCGGCUUACUGGACUGUAACUGACGUUGAGGCUCGAAAGCGUGGGGAGCAAACAGGAUUAGAUACCCUCGUACAG